rnacentral:rRNA from 1 species
UACAGAGGUCUCAAGCGUUGUUCGGAUUCAUUGGGCGUAAAGGGUGCGUAGGCGGCCAGGUAGGUCGGUUGUGAAAACUGGAGGCUCAACCUUCAGACGUCGACCGAAACCCCCUGGCUAGAGUCCGGAAGAGGAGAGUGGAAUUCCUGGUGUAGCGGUGAAAUGCGCAGAUAUCAGGAAGAACACCCGUGGCGAAGGCGGCUCUCUGGGACGGUACUGACGCUGAGACGCGAAAGCGUGGGGAGCGAACAGG